UGUGAAGUUACUUAAACAACCAGGAGGUUGGCUUAGAAGCAGCCAUCCUUUAAAGAAAGCGUAAUAGCUCACUGGUCUAGUGAUUUUGCGCGGAAAAUAUAACGGGGCUAAAGUAAGUACCGAAGCUGUAGACUUGCGCACAACUUAGAUUAUUUAAGUUUAGAAUAUGAGAAACUAAGUUAUAUUUUUACUGAUUUUUAUAGAGUAAAGAUAGAAAUAAAACUUAGUAAAAUCAGUAAAAAUAUUCUUAGGCUAAAGUUAAGUAGUUUAAGUUGUGUGCAAGUGGUAGGAGAGCGUUCUAUUUGCGUCGAAGGUAUACCGGUAAGGAGUGCUGGAGCGAAUAGAAGUGAGCAUGCAGGCAUGAGUAGCGAUAAUUAAUGUGAGAAUCAUUAACGCCGUAAACCCAAGGUUUCCUACGCGAUGCUCGUCAUCGUAGGGUUAGUCGGGUCCUAAGUCGAGUCCGAAAGGGGUAGACGAUGGCAAAUUGGUUAAUAUUCCAAUACCAACAUUAGUGUGCGAUGGAAGGACGCUUAGGGCUAAGGGGGCUAGCGGAUGGAAGUGCUAGUCUAAGGUCGUAGGAGGUUAUACAGGCAAAUCCGUAUAACAAUACUCCGAGAACUGAAAGGCUUUUUGAAGUCUUCGGAUGGAUAGAAGAACCCCUGAUGCCGUCGAGCCAAGAAAAGUUUCUAAGUUUAGCUAAUGUUGCCCGUACCGUAAACCGACACAGGUGGGUGGGAUGAGUAUUCUAAGGCGCGUGGAAGAACUCUCUUUAAGGAACUCUGCAAAAUAGCACCGUAUCUUC
rnacentral:rRNA from 1 species